rnacentral:rRNA from 1 species
ACGCUCGACACCUACGGGAGGCAGCAGUGGGGAAUAUUGCACAAUGGGGGAAACCCUGAUGCAGCGACGCCGCGUGAAGGAAGAAGUAUCUCGGUAUGUAAACUUCUAUCAGCAGGGAAGAAAAUGACGGUACCUGACUAAGAAGCCCCGGCUAACUACGUGCCACAGCCGNGGUAAUCUGAGCGGCUGGCAAGGC